rnacentral:lncRNA from 1 species
AUCUUUGUAUCUUAUACCAAGUAGAUGGUACCUCUUAAUCCCCUUUCCCCAUCUUAACUCCUUUCCCCACCCUCUCCUUGGUAACUACUGGUUUUUUCUCUGUUUCUGUGAAUCUGCUUCUGUUUUGCUAUAUUCAUUUGUAUGAUUUAUUUUUUAGAUUCCACAUUUAUGUGAAAAGACAUAGUAUUUGUCUUUGUCUCUGACCUCAGUAGGCAUAAUACCCUCCAAGUUUGACUAUGUUGUCGCAAAUGGCAAAAUUCUCUUCUUUUUCAUGGCUAAUACCCUCCCUAUCUAUCUAUAUCACAUUUUCUUUAUCCAUUCAUCUGUUGAUGGACACUUAGAUUGCUUCCCUAUCUUGGUGAUUGAAAAUAAUGCUGCUAUGAGCAUUGGGUGCAUGUAUCUUUUCAAAUUAGUAUUUUCAUUGUGUUCCUGCCCUUAGAAAAAAAUAACUUUGUUUUCAUCACUGAGUAUGAUUUUAGCUGUGGGCAUUUAUAUAUGUUUUUGUAAUUUGAAGUAGCUUUCCUUUACUCCUAGUUUGUUGAAUGUUUUUGUUAUGAAAAGGUACUGCAUUUGUCAAGUGCUUUUCCUGCAUCAAUUGAGGUCAUCAUGUUUUUUCCCCCUUUGCUUUAUGAAUAUGGCAUAUUACAGUGAUUGAGUCUCAUAAAUUGAAUCAAACUUUCAUUCUAGAAACAAAUCCAACUUGAUUUUGGUAUAUAAUCCUUUUUUAUAUGCUGUUGAUUUUUUUUUGCUAAUGUUUUAUUGAGAGUUUUUCACUCAUAGUCUUCUAAUAUUUCUUCUUUUGAUAUUACAUUAUACUUAAGUAUUUUGGAAAUAACUUUUAUGAUAUUGAGAAAGUUUUCUUAUCCCUAGUCAGCUGAAUAGUACAAUGAAUGUGAUUUUGAUUUUAUCAAGUGCUUUUUCUAUAUCUGUUGAAUGUUUGGUUUUCUCCUUUAUUCUGUUACUAUAGUCAAAUACAUUGACUGAAUUUUAAAUGUUAAACCACCUGUGCACUUCUGUGAUAAAUACUAUUUGAUUUUAAAAUAGACUUCCAAUACAUCACUGGAUUUUAUUUGCAUUUUUUGAUUUUUGCCUCUAUUAGAAAAAUUGGUCCAUAAUUUUCUUUUAAUAAUCCUUAUUUGGUUUUAGAUCAAUAUUAUCCUGGCCUCUUAAGAUGACUUGUGUUACUUUAGUUAUUCUUUAUUCUCUGAAGGAGGUUUUAUAAUAUUGGUAUUAGUUACACAUCUUAAUUUGGAUGAAUUUUCAACCUCUUAUUCUUUAAGGUAUGUACUCAUUUCACCGUUUUCGUUCCUGAUAAUGCUAUUUUGCAUUGUCUUAAUUUUAAAAAUUCAAUAUUUCUAGAGCUUUAUCAUUUGUAUUAACCUUCUCAGAAAAUCAGCUCUGGUAUUGUCCAUUUUCCCUGUUGUGUGUUUGCUCUCUACUGUCAUUGCCUGUUGCUCUUAUUUCCUUUCCCCCAUGUUUUUGGGAGGGUUACAUUGCUGUUCUUCUCUAUUUAUUUAUUUAUUUAUCUUUAUUUUUUGUGUUUUUGGGGCUUCACUUGUGGCAUAUGGAGGUUCCCAGGCUAGGGGUCAAAUCGGAGCUGUAGCUGCCAGCCUACACCAAAGCCACAGCAACACGGGAUCUAAGUCGCGUCUGCGAUCUACACCACAGCUCAUGGCAACGCUGGAUCCUUAACCCACUGAUCGAGGCCAGGCAUUGAAUUCAUGUCCUCAUGGACACUAGUCGGGUUUGUUAACUGCUGAGCCAUGACAGGAACUCCUCUAGCUUUUUAAAAUGGGGUUAAUCUUUUCCAUUUCUGUAAUACUCACUUAGAGCUAUAUGUCCCCUUGUGAAUGUUGUUUGGAAAUUUGAAGGUCGUAAGAGUAUCCAUUUAAAUUUUGUGAACUAUAUAUAAAAACCUUCACGUUCUCUUUUUUUGUUUAUUGUCUUUCUGUUUGGAAGAAAAUAAUAGACUCUGUUUACCCUAGAAUAUAAUAAAAAACUUUAUUCAUUAGUUCUGUUUUUGACUUUCCCAUCAAGGAUGCCCCCCGCCCCCACCCAAUCUGCUUCAGGUUCCUAACUUCAUUUUGGUAGUUUUUCUUCCAUGCCAUUAGAAAGUCCUGGGGGGCGAGGGCCAUGGGGUAUGAUGCUUGAAAUGUGCUCCCACUUGGGGGUACACUGAUUGCCUGGGCUUGUCUGUGCAAGCAGACAUUAGAGAGUAUCUUGCUGUAGAGCAGUUCUAACCAUGCUUCUGAAGACAUUUAGAUCAUCUUCUCAUAUGGAAUGGUCCCUGAAAUAAUUUGGCUUUACAAAAAGCUGAAGAAAAUCCUGUAACUUCAGAAUUCUUGGAACCACAAGAGGAAACUUUGAAAGACUGGUUUGGGUCAGAUACAUGGAUUUUUCAUUACAACCCAAGUUCCUGGCAGUGAAUGUAAACUGUGUUUGACACAUGGUUUUCAUCUGAGAUUUCCAUACAUUUUACUGCCUUCGGGGUUAACUUGACAACCUGAUACCAUGACAAGGCCUGGCAGGUUUGGCUGGUUUUGUUGACUAAAGGACUUGGCUCUGGAUAUCCACAUAGGGACAGGACAGAGGCCUGCUGCUUAGAGAGAGAGGGAUUUGCAGCCACGAUGACCACAUAAAGCUGAGCCCUUCGAUGUGCUACCUCCACAGAAAGAAAUCCCACUCACGUUUAGUGAUAGAGAGCAGGGGACUUUAUCAGUCAUGGCCUGGGCUCUGGUUUGUUUGCCUCUGCAAGUUCAUAACCAUAUGGGUUUGGUGUUCAGAUUUUUACUGCCUGCAUCCUUCUAUGAUUAUCCAACAACUAGAGAAGGUAGCAUAAAAUAUGGCUUUGCUAGAUGCCACUUCUGUGGUGGAAGAAGCAAACGUAAUACAGCAGGCUAAAUACACACUCUCAAUGACCUAUAGGAUUUAUUUGAACAGAUGUGAACUGUCUCGCAGGUAUUUAGCAGCACUCUAUCCAAGCACUUUCAGAAUGACCUGCUAUAGUUGUCUUUCUUACAUCCAUCCGUUUCAUUGAUACUCUCUUUAUGCAGGGUAAUCUGACUGUAGUUAAUUAUUCCAGGAACAGGUGCAUGGCCCCAGCAAGGGCAGACAGUCUCUUCCCUGGGAAUUUGAACUGAGAAGUCUCUUCUCGUCACUUGGUUGAUAAUUUGAAGACUCGGGAUCCUUUGGCUGUCAUAUACUCUGCCACGUAACCUUGCAGCCAGAGAGGAUGAUGCAAAAAACCAGAGAGUGGAGAUAAACAAAAAAAGGUGGUGGCGGCGGGGGGAGUCCCAAAGGCUUUGGAGCACCCGGGUUAAGAAUUAUCCCCAAGUCCAGCUGCAGUCCCUACCUGUCAGUUCUGUGACAUACAUUCUAUCACUGAAUCACUGAAAUUCCUCCACCACUGGGUUCUCCCCUCACCCCCAAGCUGUUUUUUUUUUUUUUUUUUUUUUGGUUCGAAGCUAUAGUUGAUUUCUUUCCAACAUCCCCAAAGACUUGAAGCUAAUAGACCAUCACAGCCUCCAACUCAGUUUUGGGUGUGUUCUCAAAGAGAUAGAUAUCUCUGUUUUAAUGGAAUACUUGAUGGAAGAAAUGCUCCAGAUCUGACAAGCAAAACCUGCAUUUCCAUUCUUGGAUAAACACUCUCAUUUUUUUUUCCCCAUCAUUUGAGAAAAAUGCCUAAUAAUGUGAACAUAAUUUUAAGCAUCAUUAUUUUGUAGAUUUUAUGAGUAGCCAUUACAUUAAUAAGCAGGGAAAACUUUAAGAAUGGAAAAAUAUACCUUUUUAAGGCAAAGUAGGGUAUGCCAACAUCACACAGCACAUUUAAUAUUUUGCAGGUGAGACUUGCUCUCCAGCUAAAAUUAUCCUUUUUCAUAUGAAACAGAAGAUUGGUUGAGUGAUAGUUCUUAAUUCAGGAAGGAACAGCAUAACUGAAAAGCUAUUCAGAAGCAAAAAUACUCUCCUAAAAAUGUUUUUAUGUUCUAUAGGAUGUUGUUCAUUUAAUAUUCACCUUUGAAUACUGAAGUUCCUUUUGACUCAUCAAGUACAUUUAUUCUGUCACAAAAUAAGACAUGCUUUGAGGAUUUAACAGUUCAUGAAGACCUAGUUAUAAUUUCAUAUUUCUGCUUUAGGGAAAUAGUGAUGUACUGGAUGCUAGAAUGGAAUUCUCUCUGCCUCAGUUUCAACUAAGGUGCCGGUUUGAUGAAGAGCAGGAUACCAAAUGGGGAGAAAGCAUCAUGUGCCAGUUUUAUUAAGGAAUAUGUUUGGGCUUAAGCAUCAAAGAAGAGGUCAGAUAGGGUUUUGUGAAGAAACUGGAGAAGAGAUCUUUGGAGUUGCCAUCCAUGGGCUAGGAGUAGAGUGUGCCACCUUCUUGACCUCGAGCCAGGGGAGGGAUUUCCAUGAGGAAAAGUGGAAAGGCUGCUUAUGCGUUCUUUGACAUUGAGGCAUAAUGAGUUAGGCUCCAACUCACUUCUCCCCCACCCCCAGUGUAGUGAAUAUGUAGGCAAAAUAAUGGUCCCCCAAAGAUGUCUACAUCUUAACCUCUGGAAGCCAUGAACAUACUGUGUUACAUUGCAACCAGGACUUUGCAAAUAUGAUUAAGGAUCUUGAGAUGGGGAAGUUAUCCUGGAUAAUCCACGUGAGCUCAGUGUAAUCAAAAGGAUCCUUUUGAAAAGGAGGCAGGAGGGUCAGAGGAGGUGUGAUGAUGGAAGCUGUGUGGCAAGAGCCAAGGAAGCUGGAAAAGGGCUUUUCAUUAGGUUAUCCAACAGUGCCCCCUGUAGGAGCUAGGAGAUGUCAACAGGGAGUCUCUGGUAUACCACUCACCUAGGUUGUUAAGGAAGGAAUUCCCAUGACCACGUGCAUCUAUCUUUGUCAGUAAAGCUGCAGCAGAGUAGGGCCCAGGGAGCUGAAGGCCAGCGUAUGACAGUUCCAACUAAAAAUGCUCUUGCCUCUUUCCCCAGCAUGUCAUUUCUGAUAGACACUAAAACAGCCUUCAGGUAGGUGGAGGAGAUAAGGUGCAGAAAUGGAGAAGCUGGUCUCUUGCCUUUCCUGUUGCUGGCUUGGAACAAUUAUGGUUCAUCAACGUAGAAGAGAGUAGAAGAUUGGACAUCCAAGCAAAUUCAACAGUAUGAUUAUCUUGAACUGGACUUUCUAACUACUUAAGAAUCUUUAAUGGUAUAAAGGGACUGUAGAAACUUCCAGGAUUUUCUCUCAGGGAGUAUUUUUGUCUCUCAUUGAAUAAAGUAUACACAGACAACAGAGGGCAAAAAUACAUUACGUCUUUCAAAUUUUAUAAAAACUUCCAAGCAU